GCACAGUGCUCUAGGAAAGU
rnacentral:miRNA from 1 species